AUUGAACGCUGGCGGCAGGCCUAACACAUGCAAGUCGAGCGGAUGAAGGGAGCUUGCUCCUGGAUUCAGCGGCGGACGGGUGAGUAAUGCCUAGGAAUCUGCCUGGUAGUGGGGGAUAACGUCCGGAAACGGGCGCUAAUACCGCAUACGUCCUGAGGGAGAAAGUGGGGGAUCUUCGGACCUCACGCUAUCAGAUGAGCCUAGGUCGGAUUAGCUAGUUGGUGGGGUAAAGGCCUACCAAGGCGACGAUCCGUAACUGGUCUGAGAGGAUGAUCAGUCACCCUGGAACUGAGACACGGUCCAGACUCCUACGGGAGGCAGCAGUGGGGAAUAUUCGGCAAUGGGCGAAAGCCUGAUCCAGCCAUGCCGCGUGUGUGAAGAAGGUCUUCGGAUUGUAAAGCACUUUUAGUUGGGAGGAAGGGCAGUAAGUUAAUACCUUGCUGUUUUGACGUUACCAACAGAAUAAGCACCGGCUAACUUCGUG
rnacentral:rRNA from 1 species